rnacentral:rRNA from 1 species
AGUGAACGCUGGCGGUAGGCCUAACACAUGCAAGUCGAACGGCAGCACAGUAAGAGCUUGCUCUUACGGGUGGCGAGUGGCGGACGGGUGAGGAAUACAUCGGAAUCUACUUUUUCGUGGGGGUUAACGUAGGGAAACUUACGCUAAUACCGCAUACGACCUACGGGGGAAAGCAGGGGAUCUUCUGACCUUGCGCGAAUGAAUGAGCCGAUGUCGGAUUAGCUAGUUGGCGGGGUUAAGGCCCACCAAGGCGGCGAUCCGUAGCUGGUCUGAGAGGAUGGUUAGCCAGACUGGGACUGAGACACGGUCCAGACUCCUACGGGAGCCAGCCGUGGGGAAUCUUGGGCCAUGGGCGCAGACCUUAUCCCACCGUACCGCGUGGGUGAAGAAGGCCUUCGGGUUCUAGAGCCCUUCUUUUGGGUAAGAAAAGCAUCUGGUUAAUACCCCGCUGUUCUGGCGGUACCCGAAGAAUAAGCCCCGGCUUACUUCGUU